AUUGAACGCUGGCGGCAGGCCUAACACAUGCAAGUCGAGCGGAUGAAGGGAGCUUGCUCCUGGAUUCAGCGGCGGACGGGUGAGUAAUGCCUAGGAAUCUGCCUGGUAGUGGGGGAUAACGUCCGGAAACGGGCGCUAAUACCGCAUACGUCCUGAGGGAGAAAGUGGGGGAUCUUCGGACCUCAAGCUAUCAGAUGAGCCUAGGUCGGAUUAGCUAGUUGGUGGGGUAAAGGCCUACCAAGGCGACGAUCCGUAACUGGUCUGAGAGGAUGAUCAGUCACACUGGAACUGAGACACGGUCCAGACUCCUACGGGAGGCAGCAGUGGGGAAUAUUGGACAAAGGGCGAAAGCCUGAUCCAGCCAUGCCGCGUGUGUGAAGAAGGUCUUCGGAUUGUAAAGCACUUUAAGUUGGGAGGAAGGGCAGUAAGUUAAUACCUUGCUGUUUUGACGUUACCAACAGAAUAAGCACCGGCUAACUUCGUG
rnacentral:rRNA from 1 species